rnacentral:rRNA from 1 species
AGAGUUUGUUCCUGGCUCAGGAUGAACGCUAGCUACAGGCUUAACACAUGCAAGUCGAGGGGCAGCAUGAAAGUUUGCUUGCAAACUUUUGAUGGCGACCGGCGCACGGGUGAGUAACACGUAUCCAACCUGCCUCAUACUCGGGGAUAGCCUUUCGAAAGAAAGAUUAAUACCCGAUGUCAUAGUCCUACCGCAUGAUGGGAUUAUUAAAGAAUUUCGGUAUGGGAUGGGGAUGCGUUCCAUUAGUUAGUUGGCGGGGUAACGGCCCACCAAGACAACGAUGGAUAGGGGUUCUGAGAGGAAGGUCCCCCACAUUGAACUGAGACACGGUCCAAACUCCUACGGGAGGCAGCAGUGAGGAAUAUUGGUCAAUGGACGAGAGUCUGAACCAGCCAAGUAGCGUGAAGGAUGACUGCCCUAUGGGUUGUAAACUUCUUUUAUAUGGGAAUAAAAUGUUCCACGUGUGGGAUUUUGUAUGUACCAUAUGAAUAAGGACCGGCUAACUCCGUGCCAGCAGCCGCGGUAAUACGGAGGAUCCGAGCGUUAUCCGGAUUUAUUGGGUUUAAAGGGAGCGUAGGUGGAUUGUUAAGUCAGUUGUGAAAGUUUGUGGCUCAACCGUAAAAUUGCAGUUGAAACUGGCAGUCUUGAGUACAGUAGAGGUGGGCGGAAUUCGUGGUGUAGCGGUGAAAUGCUUAGAUAUCACGAAGAACUCCGAUUGCGAAGGCAGCUCACUGGACUGCAACUGACACUGAGGCUCGAAAGUGUGGGUAUCAAACAGGAUUAGAUACCCUGGUAGUCCACACAGUAAACGAUGAAUACUCGCUGUUUGCGAUAUACGGCAAGCGGCCAAGCGAAAGCAUUAAGUAUUCCACCUGGGGAGUACGCCGGCAACGGUGAAACUCAAAGGAAUUGACGGGGGCCCGCACAAGCGGAGGAACAUGUGGUUUAAUUCGAUGAUACGCGAGGAACCUUACCCGGGCUUAAAUUGCACCUGAAUAAUGUGGAAACAUGUUAGCCGUAAGGCAGGUGUGAAGGUGCUGCAUGGUUGUCGUCAGCUCGUGCCGUGAGGUGUCGGCUUAAGUGCCAUAACGAGCGCAACCCUUAUCUUCAGUUACUAACAGGUCAUGCUGAGGACUCUGGAGAGACUGCCGUCGUAAGAUGUGAGGAAGGUGGGGAUGACGUCAAAUCAGCACGGCCCUUACGUCCGGGGCUACACACGUGUUACAAUGGGAGGUACAGAAGGCCGCUACCUGGCGACAGGAUGCCAAUCCCCAAAACCUCUCUCAGUUCGGAUCGAAGUCUGCAACCCGACUUCGUGAAGCUGGAUUCGCUAGUAAUCGCGCAUCAGCCAUGGCGCGGUGAAUACGUUCCCGGGCCUUGUACUCACCGCCCGUCAAG